CAGAUGUGAAGAAUUUGACUGCUGACUGAUUGUGUAUGUGUGUGUGUCUGUUUCAUCAGGAGAGGAGGCUACUGAGCUGUAAAAUGCGCUCAUCCUGGGAGUUGCCUAUUGAGCUACAUAACCUAGAGGACAAUAAUUACAAAAGUACCACAAAAAAUUGGAACUCGAAGGUGAUUCCCCAGAAUGAAACUCUGCCAGUGUCUUCACCGAAUGCAAAAGUAAAGGCGCCUCUGCCAGUAGCAACAAGACAUUGUCCUCAGAUUGGAUGUUGUAGGGAUACUGGCAAAAGUUCAGUCCAAUCCAAUAACUCCUGCAGUGAUCAUGGUUUCGCUCAGAUUAAUGGACAUCCCGGAGUUCCCUGGAGAUGGACCCCUACAUCUUUAAGGUCCCCAUGUGUUUCCCCCACAAUGAUAUUUCAGAGUAACCCACAAAACAACGCUGGCAAUCAGGUAAAAUAUCAACUGUCUGCGGGAAGGAGCUGUUGCCAACUUCUGCAAGAAAGACGGGAGGCCAUUGUUCGCUGCAUGACUGAGGGGCGACUCAACAACGUACUUGACGUGUUGCGGGCCAGACAGGCUGUGACCCGCGAGACGUAUGAGAUCAUCACUACGGCCCUGACCUUGACCGCACGCACGCGCUGUUUGCUUGAUAUCUGUGCCUGCCUUGGUGAAAAUGUUGCUAUCUUGGUGGCCACGACUUUAGGUUUAGUAUCCACUGAAAAUGCUCAGACCACCCAUAGAUGGCAGGCUGGUUAAAUUAUACCAGCAUGCUGCUACUGUUAUGCAAAGGCAAAAUGCCAUAACUGCACGUUAAACAAUUGAUAUCAGAUUGAUAUAAGAUUUGUAUGGCACUGUAAUGUGUCAUUAAUAUGUUGAGAUGGCUAGUGUGUUCUUGUUUGGACUGCUGUAUAACAGAAGAAGAGAGGUCAGACUCUCUGGAAGGGUAUGCUGCAAUGCAGUUUUAGUCUUGGAUCUAAAAAUCUCAUCAAAUUAACAUUAUAAAGGGUACUGACGAUGUGAUUGUUAGCCAGUUCCCAAACUGAAGGGAUUAGUCAAAUACCUUUGAACAUGAUGAUGUUCAGAUUAAUGGGCAAUUACAGGUUUGAUAACAUUCCUUUGUUUGUGGAGAGAAAAAAAGACAACAGCAUAGAAACAGAUUAUUUUGAAAAGAACUUUUAGGAAAGAUGAGGCUGUUUCUCUUAAUCAUGCUCACUUAACAGUGUUUGCUGUCAGCUUUCACGCACAGCUUCUGUUAAUACUGAAACUGUUGACUGAGAAGUUCACAGCCUAUUAUAUCAUAUUCAUUUGACAGACUCACUCAUCAAAUAAAUAUUUCUUACUAUAACUAAAUGAAUCUUGUGUGUACUACACAUUCCAAGGAUGCAUGUUGGAUCUAAAAAUCUCAUCAAAUUAACAUUAUAAAGGGUACUGACGAUGUGAUUGUUAGCCAGUUCCCAAACUGAAGGGAUUAGUCAAAUACCUUUGAACAUGAUGAUGUUCAGAUUAAUGGGCAAUUACAGGUUUGAUAACAUUCCUUUGUUUGUGGAGAGAAAAAAAGACAACAGCAUAGAAACAGAUUAUUUUGAAAAGAACUUUUAGGAAAGAUGAGGCUGUUUCUCUUAAUCAUGCUCACUUAACAGUGUUUGCUGUCAGCUUUCACGCACAGCUUCUGUUAAUACUGAAACUGUUGACUGAGAAGUUCACAGCCUAUUAUAUCAUAUUCAUUUGACAGACUCACUCAUCAAAUAAAUAUUUCUUACAAAUAUUUCUUACUAUAACUAAAUGAAUCUUGUGUGUACUACACAUUCCAAGGAUGCAUGUUUUGUUUUUUUAUCUAUAAGACUUACAAUCGUGCAUGUUGCACAAUAGACUCAGUAGUUUCUGAUUGUAGUGUAUCUUGCAACAAGACAUUAUUUUUUAUUCCCUGUGUACAGUUUGUAGCAUGGCAUGUAUAAAGCAAAAAAAAAGAAGAAAGAUGUAUGGACAAAAUAAACAUGGUAUAAGAAAUGUAAUUAAAUGAUGUUAUAUAAUAUGUUGUCUUUACCACAGUUUAACAGUAUGUGUCCCUUCAGCGUUUGACUGAGCUCUUACGUAAGAUCCACUUCUUGGAGAACAGCUAUUACUUGGUAUUACUCAGGUCAAUACCAUGCCACAUACCUCCUCACAG
rnacentral:lncRNA from 1 species